CAGAGCAAUGCUGAGCUUUAUCCAGAUAAACAGAGACUGGCAGGUUUAAAGCUGAUAGAAACUGAUGUUACUACAACAGUGGUUGGGAAGAUAUGCUCAAGUAGGUGUUUGAAUUUCCAGCUGGGCCCAAAAUCAAGAUCAAAACCAAAUACACUGUGGCAGCAGUGGUCUCUCUGUCUGCCAUCCAUCCCAGAGUGCUGCCGACUACGCACAUCUUCCUGCUCCAGGCUCUUCAGCUGGGUGGACUACAUGAGUGUACAUCUGCAAGAAAUUGUGGGUAGAUAUCUCAGACAGGGAAGAAAAGAGUGCUUAAAUUGACAAAUCAGUCCAAACCACUAAGGUUAUAACUCCUUUUUUUCUUCUUCAAGCAGAACAGUAAAACAGACCUGUUAUUGGCAGCUCAUUAGUAGUGAGACAGAGGCAAUAUGUACCAUGACAUCAGAGUGCUGCUUGACCCACAUCUAUCAUUUUGUUAGAGAUCCUUAUUUCUGGGCCUUUCCAAAUGC
rnacentral:lncRNA from 1 species